AAACCAAUCUUUUUCUCUCAUUCUAACCUAUCUCCAAGAUCUGUUUUUUGUAGGAAGAAUAUCCUAACCAUUGUAGAAAUGGUAACUUAUGGAAUGCACUCUCUCCUACCAGAUAUUUGAGCAAAUCUGCUUAGGUUUUGUGUCACCUUUAUUUCAUCCAGUCACCCUCAUCUUUUUGCUUCAGGGCAGAGUGACAGAGCAAGAGGCAACUUUGUUUAGAUUGCUCAGACUCACAACUACCCCUUUCCCUCUGGCUCUUUAGAAAGAGGGGAUGUGCCUAAUUUUUCACUCUGAUUUCUCUACCAUAAUUCUUCCCCUUUCUUCCUCACUCAACAUUAAUACAAAUUAAUUAUUUUCAGAGAAAAUGCUGCCUUUUGUGUUGUAGGUAUCAGCUAGAUCUCCCUAUAUAUUUUUACCACUUAUAUUUUCCUAUUUCUAAAAGCAUCUAUUGGGCACAUUGUAUUUGCCAGAACCUGUCAAAUCUCCCCAUGGUGAUGAGCUCAGAUCCAGCAGAGUCAAGCCAAUAUUCAUUUGUUUUCAAGCAACUUUUCUCUCCUGAUCACCCGGAAAAUCCUUCCAGAAUUACCAAUAAUCAUCUCAACAAAAAGUUGAAGAGAGCCAGCAGUAAAAAGAGAAAACAAUAGCUAAAAGAAGAAUCAAGAACAAAGCAAAAGGACUUUGUGAGGAAGGAAAGAAGCUUCCAGGGCUUCAGCAGAAGAAACAAGACCAAGUGGAGCAAAUGCAGUGAAAUCAGGACAUGAGAUCUUUUCAAACUACUUGUAGAGGGUGUUCUCUUUUCCUUCAUGCAUAGGUCAGCACAAACAACACACCCUAUUUCAAGGAGGACCUCUGUUGGCUUGUUAUUGUCAUAUGUCCCUGGAGAGAGAAGGGUAUGGACAGUCAUCUUCUCCAUCUUAGGAUACAGACAGCUGUGUCUCCCAAUUUGCCUCAUCUGCUGGCUUCCAGCUAGGUUUGUUCAUGAGAGGCACUCAGGAGAGAUUGGAGAACAGGUGUUGUGGCAUGAUGUCCCGCAACAGGAGAGCUGACUAAUACAAUAAUCCCCCAAAGUGAUUUGGAAAGUACCUUAAACUGAAAAGAUGGGAACAAUCAGCAGCUGCAGAAACACUACUUGAGUAAAACCUUAAGAAAAAUUUAAAUUUAAGUAGAGUCUCCUAAGAUAUAUCUUCCACUGACCCUUCUCCAAGGGAGUUUCUUGCUUAUGAGAAGACAACCUUGUAUCAAAAAGUCUGAUAAAUAUUCUUGGAAGCCCAACUUCACCCUGACAUUUGUUAGAUUGUAUGGGGGAUUGAACUCAGGACCUUGUGCUUGUGAGGCAGGCGUGGCACCACUGAGCGACAUUCCUGGUGCCCCAUUCUAUUUGAAUAGUGAAAACACAUACCAAGAUAAUGCCUCUGAAUAUUCCUUCUCUACCCCAGUCACAUGAUAUUCAGAUCAGAAAACACUGAUCCCUGCCUGAUAAGCUAGCCUGGUAUCUUCAUCUCCAGAUAAAGCCCAUUACAAGUGCUUUGGCCUUCAGGUCUCUACCCCUUUCCUCCGAUCAUGGAUGCUCUUGCAGCACCUACCAGCCACUGCCACCUGAAAUGAGCAAAAGAUAAACAUAUCCAUGAAUAAGAACAUCUAUAGCAAAUGCUACAAACAACAGCCAGCAUGUAGCGGCUGAGGACAACACUUAGGAACAUGGCUAAGAGUGUGGACCAUUAUCCUCUGGUGCCAAUAUUUAAGUGAUGAGACUCUUUGUCCUGAAAGACUUGCAGGAGAAGGGCAGAGCAUCCUGGUUUCUUGCCAAAGGAGGAUUCAGAAUUGGUCUCAUCUUACAGGGGCACCAGUGACUAGAUUGAGGAACUGUCAAAACUGAGGAGAAGACCCCAAGCUGGAGGCCUGUCCCUGGUAUGGUACCACUGCAGUAGACCAGAGUGGAAGAGGAGGGUCCAGGAGUUCAGAGCACAUCAGGGACCCAGAGACAAUUGGGGACUCUAUGUAAUCUUGGAUUGUUCUGCAAAAGAAGCCUCAUUGGAGGCCAAUGGCCUGGGUGCCAGGCCGGGAGGAAAGCCUUCAUUUCCAGCUCACCCGGGAGAGGCAGAAGAUAGGAGGUGCUGUGGAGCAGCUGAGGCAUCUGGAGUCUGGAAGUGAUCUGGAAGCACAUACUGUACAGCUAUAGAGCUGAUAUGUUACUGUUGGCAUCAUUAUUCAUGGAGGGAGCUGGAGCAGUGAACUCGCUAGUGCAUUUGAAUCACUCAGAAGAAGAGAGAAAACUCCAAAGGAUUCCAGAGUUAAAAGGAUGUGAAGGAGUGGCUCUCUACUGUAUAAGAAACCACUGAAAAGCAAAGACAGCUAUGGUCCAGAGCGAGAAAGACAGAGCUGAAGAGAAGCACUUACAUCAGCCUGGAGGCUGAGUUGUGUCCUCAGACCUUAUUCAGACCAAACUGUCAGUGCGGGAACAACCCACUGCUUUUAUUUAAAGGUAUUGCAUCCUACCGACUCCCAAGGACUCUGGACACCAAAGGAACCAAUACCAUGACAAAGUGACCAGCUUGGAUCCAAACCCUGGGAAGCACCUGGAACCCUGCACACAUGUGACCUACAUAAGGAGCCACUGGAUGGCACUGUGGGUCCAUGCAAAUGUGUAUGGACGGACAUUUAUCUUUCCUUUGAAAAGACUGUUUAGCUUUGAC
ensembl:lncRNA